rnacentral:rRNA from 1 species
CAGUAGCCGCGGUAAUACGUAGGGUGCGAGCGUUAAUCGGAAUUACUGGGCGUAAAGCGUGCGCAGGCGGUUGUGUAAGACAGGUGUGAAAUCCCCGGGCUCAACCUGGGAACUGCAUUUGUGACUGUAGAGCUGGAGUGCGGCAGAGGGGGAUGGAAUUCCGCGUGUAGCAGUGAAAUGCGUAGAUAUGCGGAGGAACACCGAUGGCGAAGGCAAUCCCCUGGGCCUGCACUGACGCUCAUGCACGAAAGCGUGGGGAGCAAACAGGAUUAGAUACCCGUGUAGUCCCUGUCUCUUAUAC